rnacentral:rRNA from 1 species
AAGACCUUGCGCUUUUGGAGCGGCCGAUGCCUGAUUAGCUUGUUGGCAAGGUAAAAGCUUACCAAGGCUUCGAUCAGUAGCUGGUCUGAGAGGACGGCCAGCCACACUGGGACUGAGACACGGCCCAGACUCCUACGGGAGGCAGCAGUGGGGAAUUUUGGACAAUGGGGGCAAGCCUGAUCCAGCCAUGCCGCGUGAGUGAAGAAGGCCUUCGGGUUGUAAAGCUCUUUCAGCCGGAACGAAACGGUUACGGUUAAUACCUGUGAUUACUGACGGUACCGGAAGAAGAAGCACCGGCUAACUACGUGCCAGCAGCCGCGGUAAUACGUAGGGUGCGAGCGUUAAUCGGAAUUACUGGGCGUAAAGCGUGCGCAGGUGGUUUUGUAAGUCAGAUGUGAAAGCCCCGGGCUCAACCUGGGAACU